CCUACGGGAGGCUGCAGUGGGGAAUAUUGCACAAUGGGGGAAACCCUGAUGCAGCGACGCCGCGUGAGUGAAGAAGUACUUCGGGAUGUAAAGCUCUAUUAGCAGGGAAGAAAAUGACGGUACCUGAUUAAGAACCCCCGGCCAACGACGUGCCAGCAGCCCCGGUAAUACGGAGGGGGCAAGCGUUAUCCGGAUUUACUGGGUGUAAAGGGAGCGUAGACGGCAGCACAAGUCUGGAGUGAAAUGCCGGGGCUUAACCCCGGAAGUGCUUUGGAAACUGUACAGCUAGAGUGCAGGAGAGGUAAGUGGAAUUCCUGGUGUAGCGGUGAAAUGCGUAGAUAUUAGGAGGAACACCAGUGGCGAAGGCGGCUUACUGGACUGUAACUGACGUUGAGGCUCGAAAGCGUGGGGAGCAAACAGGAUUAGAUACCCGUGUAGUC
rnacentral:rRNA from 1 species